UGUAUAGAGUGGCGCACGGGUGAGUAACACGUAGGUUAUCUACCUCUGAGUGGGGAAUAACAACCGGAAACGGUUGCUAAUACCGCAUAAUACCGAAAGGUCAAAGCUUUAGUGCUUGGAGAGGAGCCUGCGGCAGAUUAGCUAGUUGGUAAGGUAAUGGCUUACCAAGGCGACGACGGGUAGCUGGUCUGAGAGGAUGUCCAGCCGGACUGGGACUGAGAUACGGCCCAG
rnacentral:rRNA from 1 species